rnacentral:rRNA from 1 species
UACGAAGGGGGCUAGCAUUGCUCGGAUUGACUGGGCGUAAAGGGCGCGUAGGCGGUUUGUACAGUCAGACGUGAAAUUCCUGGGCUCAACCUGGGGGCUGCGUUUGAUACGUAUGGACUUGAGUUCGGAAGAGGGUCGUGGAAUUCCCAGUGUAGAGGUGAAAUUCGUAGAUAUUGGGAAGAACACCGGUGGCGAAGGCGGCGACCUGGUCCGAUACUGACGCUGAGGCGCGAAAGCGUGGGGAGCAAACAGG